rnacentral:rRNA from 1 species
GGUUACCUUGUUACGACUUCACCCCAGUCAUGAAACACAAAGUGGUAAUCGUCCUCCCGAAGGUUAGACUAACUACUUCUUUUGCAUCCCACUCCCAUGGUGUGACGGGCGGUGUGUACAAGGCCCGGGAACGUAUUCACCGCAGUAUGCUGACCUGCGAUUACUAGCGAUUCCGACCUCAUGGAGUCGAGUUGCAGACUCCAAUCCGGACUACGACAUUCUUUAAGGGGUCCGCUCCACAUCACUGUCUUGCUUCCCUCUGUAAAUGCCAUUGUAGCACGUGUGUAGCCCUACACGUAAGGGCCAUGAUGACUUGACGUCGUCCCCACCUUCCUCCGGUUUGUCACCGGCAGUCUCCUUAGAGUGCCCAACUGAAUGCUGGCAACUAACGACAAGGGUUGCGCUCGUUGCGGGACUUAACCCAGACAUCUCACGACACGAGCUGACAACAGCCAUGCAGCA